rnacentral:rRNA from 1 species
AGCGAACGCUGGCGGCAUGCUUAACACAUGCAAGUCGCGCGGGUGGUUUCGGCCAUCAGCGGCGGACGGGUGCGUAUCGCGUAGGAAUGUAUCCCGAGGUGGGGGACAACCCUGGGACACUGGGGCUAAUACCGCAUGGGGCCUGUGGGUCAAAGCCUUAGGGCGCCGUGGGCGCAGCCUGCGUCCGAUUCGGUAGUGGGUGGGGUAAGGGACUACCAAGCCUGGGAUCGGUAGCUGGUCGGAGAGGACGAUCAGCCAGACUGGGACUGAGACACGGCCCAGACGCCUACGGGAGGCAGGAGUGGGUAAUAUUGGACAAGGGGCGCAAGCCUGAUCCAGCAAGGCCGGGUGGGUGAAGAAGGUGUUCGGAUUGGAAAGCCCCAUCGGCGGGGACGAUGAUGACGGUACCCGCAGAAGAAGCCCCGGCUAACUUCGUG